rnacentral:rRNA from 1 species
CCUACGGGAGGCAGCAGUGGGGAAUAUUGCACAAUGGGCGCAAGCCUGAUGCAGCCAUGUCGCGUGUAUGAAGAAGGCCUUCGGGUUGUAAAGUACUUUCAGCGGGGAGGAAGGGAGUAAAGUUAAUACCUUUGCUCAUUGACGUUACCCGCAGAAGAAGCACCGGCUAACUCCGUGCCAGCAGCCGCGGUAAUACGGGGGAUGCAAGCGUUAUCCGGAUUUAUUGGGUUUAAAGGGUGCGUAGGCUGGGAGGUAAGUCAGCGGUGAAAUGCCCCCGCUCAACGGGGUGAAGUGCCAUUGAUACUGCCUUGCUGGAAUGCGGAUGCCGUGGGAGGAAUGUGUGGUGUAGCGGUGAAAUGCAUAGAUAUCACACAGAACACCGAUUGCGAAGGCAUCUCACGAAUCCGCGAUUGACGCUGAUGCACGAAAGCGUGGGUAUCAAACAGGAUUAGAUACCCGGGUAGUC